AGUGAACGCUGGCGGUAGGCCUAACACAUGCAAGUCGAACGGCAGCACAGUAAGAGCUUGCUCUUACGGGUGGCGAGUGGCGGACGGGUGAUGAAUACAUCGGAAUCUACUUUUUCUUGGGGGAUAACGUAGGGAAACUUACGCUAAUACCGCAUACGACCUACGGGUGAAAGCAUGGGAUCUUCCGACCUUGCGCGAUUGAAUGAGCCGAUGUCGGAUUAGCUAGUUGGCGGGGUAAAGGCCCACCAAGGCGACGAUCCGUAGCUGGUCUGAGAGGAUGAUCAGCCACACUGGAACUGAGACACGGUCCAGACUCCUACGGGAGGCAGCAGUGGGGAAUAUUGGACAAUGGGCGAAAGCCUGAUCCAGCUAUACCGCGUGGGUGAAGAAGGCCUUCGGGUUGUAAAGCACUUUUGUUGGGAAAGAAAAGCAGCAGGUUAAUACCCCGCUGUUCUGACGGUACCAAAAGAAUAAGCACCGGCUAACUUCGUG
rnacentral:rRNA from 1 species